GGGCCAAAUUCCAGUGCCACACGCUGGGAAAUCCAGAAACAUUCACAGGAUGCAACCACCCUUACUCUGCCUUCAUGAAGUGCCUUCAGAUAAAACGCUCGCAGAAUGUGAGAGGCAAGAAGCCUCUGGAAUGGUGAGCACUUACUGCUUACGUGAGUGAGGGCUGAGAAAUGUUACAGCCCUUUUACCAUCAUUUUUCAAGAAAAAUGGAAUGGAAAGCUCUCCGUAAUUGGCCUUGUGCCUCUGCCUGCUGUCAGCAGCACCUCCUGCCACCUCCAUGUCCUUCACCACCCCGACUUACUAUGUCAGGGGUUCCUGGGCCUCCCAAGCAGGUUCACGUUCCUCCUCUCCCCUUUCUCAGGUGGAACACGUAUUCCUGCAACUCCUGGCUGUGUCAGCAGCAUCCUUGCCUGUUCAGGAGAGCUGGUGCUCCCCAGCUGCCCUGCCUUGGCCAAGGAGAGCCACGAGCCUCUGAGCAUCCCAGAGGGGUUGGCAGGGCAGAGCUGCUGCCUGUGGGAGGACGGUGGGUCCUGUUUUUUAGAGCUGGCCCCGACCUGCCAUGAAGAAGCAUCACAAUCCAUGCACGAAGUCUGCCUGCGCUCACCUGCACUGUGCAGGAUUGGAGGGGGCAGCAGCCUUGCCCUGAAUUCGGGUGGUUUUCUGCUUCGGGUGCAGCACGAUGACUCCUCUCAGGGUUAAUCAUAUCCUGUGGUAGGAAAAACAGACCUCAGGGACGUGAACUAAUAAAGCAGAGGCACUGCAGGAUGGCUGCCAAGGCCCUGAGGGACUUCUGCACAUCCUGAGGUCCUGGGGACUUUCAUCUGCUAGCCUACCUGGAACCUCUUCAGAUCUGAAUUGCACUGCUAAUACCAAGCUGAUCUCGCUGAGUGAGGGUUUGAUGUCAAUGCAGUUAAAGCUAAAAUGAAACUCUGUGAGCUGGGGGGUUUCCAAGGUCCAGCAAAUGCCCCAGGGUUUUUGGGUUAUCUCUGUCCGUGGCAGAGGAAAUUGUAGUGGGUCAGCAUUGGGCAGGGGAAGGAGCAGCAACAGAAAGUGGCUCUGAUGGCUCAGCGAUAGCACCCUUCCAAAUCAUAUUUCUAAGUACAGUAACUCUCCUGUGGUGGGAAGUCUUUCUGAUGAAAUAACCCCUGCUCCUUGCACACUUUCAGUGUUACACUGAGCUGACAUAAAUGUAAAGGCACUGGCCUCAGCGCCUUCUGCAGCUUCCAGCAAGAGGUGCCUGGUCUUGUGGCCCCUGCCACAGCGGCCGGACCUGCAGCUUGUUACAUAUUUUGGUUUUCUGCUGUGUGUUGCUACUGGAUGCUCCUCUAAAACAAUGAGCUGCGCUGUAGUGACACAUGCCAGUUACACUUCAUGCUCGUGCAGGCCACGUUUUGUUGGUGAAGUGACUCUUAGAGAGAGUUUUGAGAGUUAACAUCUUUACAAGGGAAAAAUCAUAGAAAUGUAAGAUAUUAGGCAUCAAGGCUGGGAAAAGCUUCUCUGUAACAACUCUCCUGCACCAAGGCAGACGUCAAGGAGCAAAACAUCAUAGCUGU